rnacentral:rRNA from 1 species
AAAAGGGACAUUUGGGGGCAUACGAACUCGGCAGCGAGAGGUGAAAUUCUAAGACCUGCCGAGGUCGAACUAAAGCGAAAGCAUUUGCCAAGAAUGUUUUCAUUGAUCAAGAACGAAAGUUGGAGGAUCAAAAACGAUCAGAUACCGUUGUAGUUCCAACUUUAAACUAUGCCGACUGUUGGGGCCAGUUCGGUAUAUCCGUACUUAUUGACCUCCCAGGGAAACCAUAGUAGGGUUCUGGGGGGAGUACGGUCGCAAGUCUGAAACUUAAAGGAAUUGACGGAAGGGCACCACCAGGAGUGGAUCCUGCGGCUUAAUUUGACUCAACACGGGGAAACUUACCCGGUCCGGACACCGAUAGGAUUGACAGACUAAUCGCUCUUUCAUAAUACGGUGAUGAGUGGUGCAUGGCCGUUCAUAGUUGGUGGAGCGAUUUGUCUGGUUAAUUCCGUUAACGAACGAGACUAAAACCUUCAGUUAGUUUGCCAAUCAUGUUCAGACUCUUCACGGAGUUCUGGGCUAGACUUGAACAAACUAUUUGAAUGGGAUUAACGCCGUAAUCGAAAGGCGUUUGAAAUUUUUCAAUAACAGGUCUGUGAUGCCCUUAGAUGUCCGGGGCCGC